AGCCUGUCAAAGUUGGUUAGUUUUUACUUACGCUGGGUCGAUGUUACUGCUGAUGGACGUUUUAUUGUAGAGGGUAUCAAGAGCUCAAAAGUCACCCCUUUGUGUUAGAAUGAAAUACUCUCGAUUUAAUCAUUUACUGUGAACCUUAUGUUUAUAAUUUUUUUUAGCUAUAAGAAACACUAAGUUUUUUUUCCAUCAGGGAUAGAUGAC
rnacentral:lncRNA from 1 species